GGAACCUAGAUACUACGCGAUUUUUGAACAGAAAAAAAACCGUACCUCUAGAAUCUACAAGAAUUAUGUAUCAAAGAAAACAAGCGAUCAUCAAGUUGAACAAUAUGAUCUUCCAAAUGAAGAAAGCGUUAAAUGCUCGUUUAUUGCGCUAGAGGUUACACCAAAGAAGAUAAUAUUCUGAAUGAAAUGUGUUAUUAGCUACACCCACGCUAUAAUUAUGAAUUUUAUUAAAAGAAGCAUAAAAAGAAGUAUAAAAAUCUAUAAAACAUGGAGUAAAACUUCGAUUUCUUCGAUUACAUUCUCUUUCGCUGAAAAUAUAAGAAGUUAGCAAUAUAAAAACUAUCAAGAAUUCGGCCAUUUCAUCUACAACGACCUAUGUAAAUUAUCCUUAAUAACCAAUAAUAGAAUCCAUCCACCGCGUAAAAGCACUAAAAAGAUUUGGCUGUCUGGAAGGAAUAGUUCCGUCGAAGGAAGACACGGCAAAAGACAUGUAAAAUAGUAAGAAGCAAGAAAAGAGAUAGAAGGGAUGGAAGAACGGAAGCAAUUA